AUAACUGAACUCCAGUCCUAAAGAAGUUAAUGCUGGGUUGACGCUACCAUCCUUGUAAAGUCAUUCUCAAGUAGACUAACAAGAAGUGUUUGCACAGCUCUUAUUGGACAGCUGUAACAGACUGAUCGUUCUAGAGGAUCUGACAUCUUCACACCAAUGCACACAAAAUAAAGUUAAUGAUUUAAAAAAAAGGAGCAUGACCCUCGGGAAACCAAAGCACCUUCUGAGUGUAUGCACGAGACCCACUCAAGAUCAGGACAUCCAAAAUCUGCAAGGGAGGAGCUCGUGAACCCCACCCUGGACUGGAGAUUUUGGGGCAGGUGCUAGAUGCUAAGAGAUGCUCAGUGGUAUUCUGCAGUGUGGCCCCUGGUAAGACACCCAUGCUGCAGCAGAUGGCCCUACACCCACGCACAUGCAGACAACACUGACUCUACUCUGUGGUGUUUUUAAGACGGAGGAUGCUGGAGAGAUGGCUCGGCAGUUGAGAAGUCACUGCUCUUGCAGACGAGCUGAGUCUGAUUCCCAGAACCACGUCCGGCAGCUCAUAUGGCCUGGUACUCCAGCUCCAGGAGGUUGAGUGCCCUCUUCUGGCCUUCUGGGCCUCCUGCACCGGCACAUACAUGAAUGUAUGUAAUUGAAAAUAAAGUAAAUUAUUCAGAAAUAAAAAGAAGACGCGAAUUUGAGAGAAUGAUGUCAGCUACUGGCCUCCUAGGCAAGGAACUGCCCGCACCUCAACUGCUGACCUUGGAUACGCUGUCCUUACUGGGCUUACAGGAGAUAAACUUAAAGAAGACUGCCGAAACUUGCAAGGGUAAGUCAGUUUUUCAGUUUCCCUGCUUCUGAGAUGGUCUGUCUGAUACUUUACACCUUAGCUAAAGUUGGUCACCCCGACGUUGCUGUGAGACCUUGGGUGACUGUCAAGGUAGCCUGCUGUUUCUGUGGAUAUACUGGAUAUUAUAUAUAUCUUGCUCUCGCUGGUAGUGGGUUUUAAUUUGUGGAUAUUUACCUUUCCUUUUCCUGGAAUAUAUUUGACAUUUGUUAUCAUUAUAUAUAGUUUUGAAAUCAGGCUUAAUGUAAUGGUGGCCACACCCAUUUGAGUGAGGCUUCAGGCGGACGGAAACAGAAAGAGGGAAGCUUAAGGUAUGGUAUUGCUUGCGCGGGUCUUUCUCUUGGGUCAGCUGAUCUGGUAGGAAGGACAGAGAAUGCUCUCUCAUGGUUCUUUAUAUUUCCCCAAUAAACACCCACUUAUCAUUUAUCUUGGGUCUAGGGAAAUCAUUACACCCUCGCCUUCAGUAAGGGCCCUGAAAUGCUGGGAAAGCACUGUAUCCCUGAGCCUGAGCCACACCCCCAGCCCCUCACUGGGGGAUUCUAGACAGGGGCUCUACCACUGAGCCACACCCCCAGCUCAUCAGUGGGGGAUUCUAGACAGGGGCUCUACCACUGAGACACACUCCCAGCCCCUUAUUGGGAGAUUCUAGACAGGAGCACUACUGCUGAGCCAUGCCUUCAGCACCCUCACUGGGAGAUUCUAGGCAAAAGUUCCAGCCUUGAGUCAUACCCCAGCCUAUGCUUAUUUUGAAGUAACCAGAUACAAACAUAAUCAGACUUCUUUUCAAUCCACCAGCUGAAGACAUGGCUUCAGGAUUGUGACAUAGCAAGCCUUGAUCGUGUGGAUAGCCAGAAAUAUGGCUGACUGUAUCUGGAAGUCAGACAAGCCUUCCUCAUACAAGGAACUUGUAAAUUCUCUACUGCUCCUAGCAGACAUUGGGAAAAAGAGAUUCGCCAGUGCCUCAGUCCCCAAGAACAGGUGCAGAAUGAGCUAGUUCACACUACGCUUCCACCAGGGAUUAAUGUUUUCAGUGGAAGCAAGUGGAAAGUUCGAAGGAGACAUGCAGCACAUGUCCUGAAUCCUAUCAGAGAAGGACAGCACAGCAUUACAAAGUGGGUCCCGGAGGAAGUGUCCUCCCCGCAGAGCUGGAGAACACUGAAAGUGGCCCUAGCCCUCCUCUUCUGACCUUUGUCCUCCUGAAGAGUGACCUCUUAUGGGCACAGCACACCGGUGACUCCUGGAAGUAUUGCUCUUUAAGCUAUAAGGCAAAUGGCUUGCUCUGGAAUUUUGCAACCAAGCAUUCCAAUCUAUAGUGUUCCGGACGCCUGGGGGAGACAGCAGCAUAUUCCCCAUGAGGAGCAGCUGUCAUUUGAACCUGCUGCCUAUCGAAACGUGUCUUAGAGCUCAGCGUGUGUAAUGUCUGGAUCCUGCUGAAGGAGAAGAUGAUAAAUUUAUACUAGCAGGCAGUCAUCACAUAUCACCACUUUACCUUGCAUAAUUCUCAAAACAGUUUUUCAGAACAGAAAAGGGAAGCACAGAGUGGGAAAUAAUUACCUUGAAGUUGUAGCACUACUGAUAUCCAAAUUAUGUCAAAUUGAGCACUGGAGUUCACACUCGAACAAUUGAGGACUCAUCUAAGUUAUCUCUGGAAUAUACAUAUAGGAGAGCACCUGCCUAGAAUCCCCCAGUAAGGGACUGGGGUUGUGGCUCAGUGGUAGAACCCCUGCCUACAAUCCCCCAGUGAGGGGCUGGGGUGUGGC